UAUAUAUAUAUGCGUGUGUGUGUUUGUGUUUGACAACCGAUGCUGGUGUGUUUAUGUCCCCGUUACUUAGCGGUUCGGCAAAAGAGACCGAUAGAAUAAGUACUGGGCUUACAAAGAAUAAGUCCUGGAAUCCAUCUCUUCAACUAAAGGUGGCACUUCAAUAUGGUCGCAGUCAAAUGACUGAAACAA